CUUUAACAGCAGGUCAACCAUGACAGAGAGGUUAAAAUUUGGAGUGUGACUUCAAGACACUUGGAGAUUACCGGAGUGGAACAAGAUCCAGUGGAAGCCUGUUGACCAAGAACUUCCAGCAGCACAAAUCUGGGUUAUAGCAGGUGGCUUUACUGAUAACCCACUGUCAUGGGCAUUGGUGGCGAGUUCCAGCGUGGGGGCAGUUGUAUGGCAUGUAGCCACCAUGUAAGGCAUUUCUGUGCUCUUCUGCCAUGAUUGUGAGGCCUCUCCAGCCAUGUGGAACUGUGAGUCCAUUAAACCUGCUUCCUUUAUAAA